CUUUUAUUAUGAAAUUCACUUAAUGUGCAAAUCGGACCUGUAUAAAGAGCGACACAUUUCCGCUGUUUGUGUGUGUGUGUGCUUUGUGAAGGAUGCAGCCUGCAGUUUGACGUCUUUCUCUUCCUUUUAUUGUACUUGUGCGUCUCACUGAAAAGGGAAAUAAGUUCUUACGGUGUCUACUUGAAUGUCAACGUAUUAAACAUUUUUGGAAACAUCAGUUAAGGAGCAAAGACCAUCAUUUCAGUGGGGUAGCAACAGUAAGAACUUAUCCAUUCGUCGUCGAAGCCUGCUGCAUUGAUGACCGGUGUCCACGUUGACGGGUCUUUAAGGAGUGAGUGUUCACAUGCAGAGGAUCGAUUUCUGAUGGUUGAACGAGUUUCGUUUAUGAAUCACAACGGUUGAAACGGAGGAUUAAUUGACACACUACGGAUUGUGAAAGGCUGUGUUCUUCAGGUAUGUGGGUGGAUCGGCACGCAAAGCCUUGAAUGGCACCUUCUACAGGAGUGACAACGAAGCAUAUACGGAUGCCUGGAGCAGAUUAGAUCAAAGAUAUGGUCAACCAUUUGUGAUACAAUGUGCCUUUCGACAGAAGCUUGCAAACUGGCCUAAAAUUCAGCCAAGGGAUGCUGUUGGACUCCGAGAGUUUUCAGAUUUUCUGAAUGCAUGUCAAGAUGCCAUGGUUCAUGUUGCAAAUCUACAAAUUUUAAAUGACUGCGAGGAAAACCAAAGGUUAGUUCAAAAACUUCCUGAAUGGGCUGCUUCACGUUGGAAUCGACAGGUUACACAAACCUUGAGAGACCAUAAGGAUUUCCCCGACUUUAAGGCCUUUGCAGCAUUUGUUUCAUUAGAGGCAGAGAUUGGUUGUAAUCCGGUCACGUCAUCUUAUGCUCUCAGUUUAGUAUCUGUUGAGAAAUGAAAUUUUAGAGAGUCUAAAGGAAAUAAGGUUAAUGUCCUUAAUACUCAAACUGACAUGGGGCAUGAUAGACAAAGGAGUAUAAAGAAAAAUACUAAACCUCCCUGUGUGUUUUGUCAAGAUCCUAAACAUCAGCUUUGCGACUGUUCCAAACUGAUGGCCAAGACACUAGUAGAACGGCGGGAAUAUGUGAAGGAAAAUAAUAUUUGUUAUGGAUGCCUGAAGAUUGGACAAAGGGUUAGAGAUUGUCGCCAUCGUCUUUUCUGUAACACAUGCAAAGGGAAACAUCCUACUUGCUUUCAUGAUGACAAUUACAUCAAAGGAGAACGGUCAGUCCCUGUAACAUCAUCUGAUUCAAGGUCUGAUGACUC